UUUUACACAACCAAAAAUAAUUUAUUUUAUUAGCUCAAAUAUUGAAGUACACUUCUUAUACGAUUCCAAAAAUCUUCCCAGGAUCAUUCCUACAUCUUCCAUAUCUUGAUUUAAAAUCAAGAUUCCGUAUAUAAAAUCAUUUUAUACAUAAUCUACACACAUACUCUACUUAUCGUAACCCAAUUUCACACUCAAAGACUUCACAUAUGCAAGACGCACUCAAAGAUUUCAUAGAUAACAAUACAUACUCAAAGAUUUUGUAGAUAACAAUACAUACGAAACCAUAUAAGAUUAUAACGAUUGACUUCAAAAUGAUAACAACUGCCUCAUCAUUCUUCAUCUCGUGUCUUCUUAAUAAACAGCAGCCUCCAAGUUCUUCUUCAUCCCCUGUCAAACCACCCAACCCAAACAACCAUCGAUUUCUGUCAAAAAUAAAACCCAAAUCACCCCUCAAUGGCUCAUGUUGAUAUUCACCACCCCUACAGCCCCUUUCCCAUGAACAGAUAAACAAAAUCCCAGAAGAAACAUUUUUUUUACCUGUGGCUGAUCGGGACUGCCAAAACAAGGGGGAAACAUCGGGAUUGUCGAGCAAACACCACCGAGGCCCUGACCAGUGACGUAUGGCUGCCAACCGGACUUCCAUCGGACCUCUUUUGCCUCUCGUACCACACCCACGCAUCUCCCCUUUGCACACCGCUGCUGGAAUCGAAGCAAGCAGUCGAGAAGCUGCUUGAACAGCAGCCUCGCUGCCUCCCUUUUUCUUCCCCUUCGGACUCCUCGACCCGGAGACUCCUCCCUCUUCGCGAAUCAACCGACGAAGCGCUCCUGCGAGAUUUCGUCUACCUUCGUUCACUGCUUCCGUUCAUAUGCCUUCGUAGCCUUUAUUCCAUUCUUUCCCCUUAACCCGAUCGGUAUCCUUUUUCCUUCCGUCCCCUUCACGAUUGCACCCCCGAAACCAACGGCAGCGCCGCUGCCUUCUUGUUCGUUUUUCCCUCUCUUCGUUCGUUUGAUUUCAGUCGUUCAUUCCCGUUCCAAUCGCCUUUUCUUCGUUCAUAUUUCCUCCCCGAUCGAUCAAAUGAACAAAGACAUAAAAAGCCCUAAGUUACAUUAUAAUUGUGAAAUAACCAACCUGCCCCCAUUAUUAAAACACUUAUUCAAAAUAAGUCCAAUCCCCAAACCUUAAACCCAUUUAUUUAAAACAACCGAAAUGGACCCGAAAGUAUCUCAAAAAUUCAAAAAUUGUGGAUUUGCAGUUUCUCACGUCAAGCUUCUCAAACAAAACAAAUUCAAACGAUUGAAACUCACGCUUCAAGGGUAAGUGCUUACGACCCCGUUUUUAAUAUUUUAAUUAUUUCAUUUCCUUUUUAUGCAAAAAUAUAAUAACUCUAGUUUAUAAAAUUAUUAUUAUUUAACAAUUUACCAUAAUGUUAC
rnacentral:lncRNA from 1 species